rnacentral:misc_RNA from 1 species
ACCUUCUCAAGCAUGGAGACGAUAUCCAAAGAAAUUUCCACAAGCUCCACUCUCCGCAUUCAGAUGUAGGACUUUUUAGGGUGUCGGGUGUAUUUCCUUCUUUUUCCAAGGAUGGCUCCAAGCUUGCAUUCGUUGACAAUGAGUUCAAAGCCGUGUGGGUAGCCGAUAGCCAAGGAUUGCGCAUUGUCUACGAGUCGAAAGGCCCAGACAACAUCUUCUCACCAGUUUGGAACCAGGAUCCACAAAAGGAUACACUGUAUGUAUGCAUGGGACCUUCUUUCAACUCUAGCAAAACAUUGGACAUCUGCGCCAUCCCCAAUGUGUCUAGCGGUGCACGGCAGCGUCGAAAGCUUACAAGAGGAUUCAAUAAUGCCUUCCCAUCCACCAGUCCAGACGGGACGAGAUUAGUUUUUCGAUCUACAAGAGAUG